CCUACGGGUGGCAGCAGUGGGGAAUUAUGGGCAAUGGGCGCAAGCCUGACCCAGCAACGCCGCGUGAAGGAAGAAGGCUUUCGGGUUGUAAACUUCUUUUCUGAGGGACGAAGAAAGUGACGGUACCUCAGGAAUAAGCCACGGCUAACUACGUGCCAACAGCCGCGGUAAUACGUAGGUGGCAAGCGUUAUCCGGAUUUAUUGGGUGUAAAGGGCGUGGAGGCGGGAAAGCAAGUCAGAUGUGAAAACUCAGGGCUCAACCCGGAGCCUGCAUUUGAUACUGUUUUUCUUGAGUGCUGGAGAGGCAAUCGGAAUUCCGUGUGUAGCGGUGAAAUGCGUAGAUAUACGGAGGAACACCAGUGGCGAAGGCGGAUUGCUGGACAGUAACUGACGCUGAGGCGCGAAAGCGUGGGGAGCAAACAGGAUUAGAUACCCGGGUAGUC
rnacentral:rRNA from 1 species